rnacentral:rRNA from 1 species
GACGGAGGAUGCAAGUGUUAUCCGGAAUCACUGGGCGUAAAGCGUCUGUAGGUGGUUCAAUAAGUCAACUGUUAAAUCUUGAGGCCCAACUUCAAAAUCGCAGUCGAAACUAUUGGACUCGAGUAUAGUAGGGGUAAAGGGAAUUUCCAGUGGAGCGGUGAAAUGCGUAGAGAUUGGAAAGAACACCAAUGGCGAAAGCACUUUACUGGGUUAUUACUGACACUGAGAGACGAAAGCUAGGGGAGCGAAUGGG